rnacentral:rRNA from 1 species
UACGGAGGGUGCGAGCGUUAAUCGGAAUUACUGGGCGUAAAGCGUCUGUAGGUGGUGAUGUAAGUCAGUGGUGAAAGACCCGGGCUCAACCUGAGAAUUGCAAUGGAAACUGCAUGGCUGGAGUGCGGAAGAGGUGGAAGGAAUUCCCUGUGUAGCGGUGAAAUGCGUAGAUAUAGGGAGGAACACCGGUGGCGAAGGCGGCCCACUGGGCCAGAACUGACACUGAGGGACGAAAGCGUGGGGAGCAAACAGG